UAUGUCCCUGAAAACUGUGCAGAAGUAGAAACAUGCACACCAUUAUAUGCUCUUGAACCAGUACAAUCUUUGGAAGCCAGUAACAAUGAAGAUGUUACAGAUACCUUCAUGUCCUUCUUCUCUACUGAGCCGUUAAGAAUAAUUGAUGAGAAAGAAGCUGAGGCCCUGUGCGCAAUAUACCUAAGUAGCAGUUAUCUCAAAUCCAAUGGAGAG